rnacentral:rRNA from 1 species
GAUGAACGCUGGCGGCGUGCCUAAUACAUGCAAGUCGAGCGAACAGACGAGGAGCUUGCUUCUCUGACGUUAGCGGCGGACGGGUGAGUAACACGUGGAUAACCUACCUAUAAGACUGGGAUAACUUCGGGAAACCGUAGCUAAUACCGGAUAAUAUUUUGAACCGCAUGGUUCAAUAGUGAAAGACGGUUUUGCUGUCACUUAUAGAUGGAUCCGCGCUGCAUUAGCUAGUUGGUAAGGUAACGGCUUACCAAGGCGACGAUGCGUAGCCGACCUGAGAGGGUGAUCGGCCACACUGGAACUGAGACACGGUCCAGACUCCUACGGGAGGCAGCAGUAGGGAAUCUUCCGCAAUGGGCGAAAGCCUGACGGAGCAACGCCGCGUGAGUGAUGAAGGUCUUCGGAUCGUAAAACUCUGUUAUUAGGGAAGAACAAAUGUGUAAGUAACUAUGCACGUCUUGACGGUACCUAAUCAGAAAGCCACGGCUAACUACGUG